CACGCGGUCCAUUCCUUAAGCAAGAGCCUCCAAGCCCCCCGUCGAACCCUAGCUAAGCCGCCGUCGGGACUCCCGACGACGUCGGGCGGCGCUUACCGCAACUCCGCAAGCCAGAUCGGGAGCCGCUCGUUGGUCGUGAACGGCCGAGAGAGGCGACCACCUGGCAGGCUCCAGCGAGUAAGGCUGCACGUGAGGAGGCGCUCCGAACCGACGACGAAGAGAAGGCGGCAGGCGGGGAGUGCGUACCCGCAUCUUUUACUCAGGCUGCUACUCCUCUGGGUCUCCUAUAGUUCGGUCUGCAAGAUUUCUCUUUGUUUGACUGCGUUCCAGGGGCUGCUCCACACAACUCAUUCACCGAGCUUUGAGUAUUAUUAUUGGAGAGUGCCAUUUGAGUUGUAGUUUUGUAUUCUGAAAUAUGCCAGCGGUUAGAAGUUUCAGUGCUGAGGUUUUUAAAGGCGUACACGAUAUUAUAUCACCCUCGCUUGUUCAGUUAGCAGUUUUUGGCAAGGAAGAUGAUGAACCAGUGCAACUUGGUACAGGUCUUGUCUUAGCUUGCACACGCGAGUAUAUUGGAGUAAUUACAACUAUUGGCUGUGAUCCGGCGGAAGGAUAUACUGUCGCUGCAAGAUUUGGUGACCAAAAUGAUUUGGACGCCAAAGUUGUAAUGAGAAGUGGACCACUGUAUGGUUUGAUCAUAUUGGGUUCUGAUCUUAAGGCUAAACCAUGCCUCGCUCCACGUUUCUAUGAUGGAGAAACUUUGAGUUCUGGGCCGGUGUUUGCUGUUGGGUGUCAGGGUUUCUACAAGGAUAUUAUUAUAGUUUCUGGAUUGAUUGGUGUUAAUGUCUGUAAAAAGUGGGUGGAAGGAAGAAAACUAUCGACACUUGUCCACACAUGUCAGAUUGGAGAUGGGUUAAUUGGAGCCCCAGUUCUUAAUCGAGGUGGCGAGGUUGUUGGGAUCAAUGUUGCUCGCACACGUCAGACAUCGCAAAUUAAUUAUGCAGUGAAGAUGGAAGAGUUCAGAAACAUGCUGGCAGAGUUAGUUGGCACCGAAUACAAGCCGGAGACUGGACUUGCAAGACUUCUGACAUUAUUCAAUGAGAAAAUAUCUGAAUUUGGAUCAACAACGGGAAAGCAUGGUGUGAAAAGAAAUUUUUUAUGCAGCCAAAACUCUACGCUUCUCCCUGAGUAUGGGCAUCUGCUUAUGUACAUUGCCUGACCGCUUAUUUACUGGAAGUUUUUUAUGCAGCCAAAACUCUACCGCUUCUCCCUGAGUAUGGGCAUCUGCUUAUGUUGGAACACACUUCGAGACAAUAAUCUGAAGACAGUGAAAUGUGGUACUUUUGGUUCCUAUAAAGCUUCUUAUAAUCAUCUGGAAUAAUCUGAAGACAGUGAUACCUAUUAUUGCGGAAGUGAUGGUAGGAACAUAUAUGCUCUUGCAAUGUCACAAUCAAAUGGCCUCAGUGAACUACAAACAUAAGCUGGCUCACCUAAUUUCCUUCUCAUGCCAAUUGUUAACGUCUAUUAUAAUAUCAACCCAGAAAAUUUGGCGAUUGGCACAUUCUCUGGAGUGAUAUCAGGAUAUGCAUUAAAAAUAGGGGCUGUGAUUGUCCUGAAUACUGAUAUCAAGGCGGUGAAUAGGUUGCUGUAGUGAGCUCCUAUUUUGUAAGCAACGCUGUGAUAGAUGGAUAUGCAUUAAAAACGCAAGCUGUUGCCGUGGCGGUAUUGGGUAGUCUUUUGGUUUUUGCCUUUGUUCUUCUGGCUUCUGCAAAAAAAAAAGAACUUUGUUCUUCUGGCAGCGUGUAUGCCUUGUUGCUUAGUGUUGAACCAGCCUACUGUGUACCUUGCCUGUAAAACACGAUUGUUUGCCUUGUAUAAGCAGACAUACCUUCCAGCU